rnacentral:lncRNA from 1 species
CAGAUGUUCAAUGUCCUAUAUAAUUGAUGCUGAUUUUCUGGUGAAUUUUGGUUUACUCUUGAACAUCAAAAACAAAUGCUUGUUUGAACAAAUAACCAAUCUCUUGGUAGCAGGACUGUUUACAAUGAUAAAUCAGCAUACAGUUGUGGAACUCACAGGCCAACGGGUGAAACUUACAGGCAUUAGGCCUAAUGGCAGAAAAUGGCAUGCUGCGGGUACGGAUAGGUAAUGAGGCUAGACAGAGAUACAGAUACUAUGGUUUAAUGAACCAAUAGCAUCCUUUAUUGUUCUAGAGAGAGUUCUUUACACUCUAUCUUCGAUUUUAUACAGAAAAUCCCA